UGGGGAAUUUUGGACAAUGGGGGAAACCCUGAUCCAGCCAUCCCGCGUGUGCGAUGAAGGCCUUCGGGUUGUAAAGCACUUUUGGCAGGAAAGAAACGUCAUGGGUUAAUACCCCGUGAAACUGACGGUACCUGCAGAAUAAGCACCGGCUAACUACGUGCCAGCAGCCGCGGUAAUACGUAGGGUGCAAGCGUUAAUCGGAAUUACUGGGCGAAAAGCGUGCGCAGGCGGUUCGGAAAGAAAGAUGUGAAAUCCCAGAGCUUAACUUUGGAACUGCAUUUUUAACUACCGGGCUAGAGUGUGUCAGAGGGAGGUGGAAUUCCGCGUGUAGCAGUGAAAUGCGUAGAUAUGCGGAGGAACACCGAUGGCGAAGGCAGCCUCCUGGGAUAACACUGACGCUCAUGCACGAAAGCGUGGGGAGCAAACA
rnacentral:rRNA from 1 species